ACCCUCAGAACCUAGCUUUCCUGCCUGCCCCCAGGGCUAAUCCAGAGGUGGGGGAGGGGCUAAAGACACUGGGCUCUGCCAGGGGCCUUGGAUGAGCUUAUCAUGGAACAUAAGAAAAAUAAAACAGAUGUCAGCCUGUGUAUGAAGAAUUCAUCCACAAGAUUUGCUCACUCUUCAAUUCUUUCCCGAGCAAAACCAAGAAUCUUCUUGGGCUAAGCCCCAAUUUGGGGUUCACCUGCCUUGCAGCAACAUGGCACCAAACAUGCGGCAGAAGAGAGAAAACGACAGCAUGAGAGACGGAGAAAGAAAUGGCCAGUUGGCAAGGUGGUAAUG
rnacentral:lncRNA from 10 species